UGCUCCCACCAGGUCGAAUGACGUUA
rnacentral:piRNA from 1 species